CAGCCGCCGCGGUAAUACAGAGGGUGCGAGCGUUAAUCGGAUUUACUGGGCGUAAAGCGUGCGUAGGCGGCUUCUUAAGUCGGAUGUGAAAUCCCUGAGCUUAACUUAGGAAUUGCAUUCGAUACUGGGAAGCUAGAGUAUGGGAGAGGAUGGUAGAAUUCCAGGUGUAGCGGUGAAAUGCGUAGAGAUUUGGAGGAAUACCGAUGGCGAAGGCAGCCAUCUGGCCUAAUACUGACGCUGAGGUACGAAAGCAUGGGGAGCAAACAGGAUUAGAUACCCCCGUAGUCCCUGUCUCUUAUAC
rnacentral:rRNA from 1 species